AUUAGUUCAAGGAUUCAGGUGUGUAGAAUUCGCGGAGUGCAGGAAUGUCAUUUUUGUUUUUUUCCAGCUGGAUCCUGAUGGUCGGCCCAAGGCUUCUUCCCGGUGGAUCCUGAUGGUCGGUCCAAGGCUUCUUCCCGGUGGAUCCUGAUGGUCGGUCCAAGGCUUCUUCCCGGUGGAUCCUGAUGGUCGGCCCAAGGCUUCUUCCCGGUGGAUCCUGAUGGUCGGUCCAAGGCUUCUUCCCGGUGGAUCCUGAUGGUCGGCCCAAGGCUUCUUCCCGGUGGAUCCUGAUGGUCGGCCCAAGGCUUCUUCCCGGUGGAUCCUGAUGGUCGGCCCAAGGCUUCUUCCCGGUGGAUCCUGAUGGUCGGCCCAAGGCUUUUUCCCGUUGGAUCCUGAUGGUCGGCCCAAGGCUUCUUCCCGGUGGAUCCUGAUGGUCGGCCCAAGGCUUCUUCCCGGUGGAUCCUGAUGGUCGGCCCAAGGCUUCUUCCCGGUGGAUCCUGAUGGUCGGCCCAAGGCUUCUUCCCGGUGGAUCCUGAUGGUCGGCCCAAGGCUUCUUCCCGGUGGAUCCUGAUGGUCGGCCCAAGGCUUCUUCCCGGUCGAUCCUGAUGGUCGGCCCAAGGCUUCUUCCCGGUGGAUCCUGAUGGUCGGCCCAAGGCUUCUUCCCGGUGGGGCCUGAUGGUCGGCGAGUGUUUAUAGUGGCGCCAUCUUGCAUUGGCUCAUGCUGCCCUCCCGGAGCUCAUCUUUAAUCCUAGAAUCUAGAGUCCGGGUUGAUGGGUGGUCUUCUGGACAGCAUGUGGGUAGUUUUAAGCCACUCGGCGGCGGCUGAAAAAUCCCAGCUUGGUGGCACCGGGCGGGGACUGAACUCGCGUCGUCCUGAACGCGGCGCCGUCACGCUAUCCAUUCAGCCACCGCCUCCCCAAUAUACACUAAAGCUGCGCGUGGCCUCGGUGCUUAUCUCCGUCACACCGGCCCUUGAGCCUGUGUUGUGGUUGGUAGCCCAUUAUCCCGGGACGCUGGUCAGUGUGACAUCCGGGUUACUUGGGGGCUUCGUGGUUUCUCAUUUUUCUCGCUUAGAGGGACCAUUAAGAAACAUGAUCCCUGCUGCUACAGGGUUAUUAUUAAGUUAAGAAUAACAUUUGACAACCGUUUGCUUGUUCU